rnacentral:lncRNA from 1 species
GAGGAAGGCCACGAUGGGACGGCAGAAAUUCAUAGCCUAGUAGAGGAUGAUCUGAGAAUUGGAGAGCCUCACAGCAGAAAAGUGCUGGGAUCACAGGUGCGAGUCCCCGUGGCCGGCCAUCUGUUCUCCUUGUCUGAUGGAAUGCUUACAGAGGCCUGUCAUGCAGUAUCCACAUGGACAGAGACCUGAGAUAUCACAAAGGUGCUUAUACCGCUGAGCUAAAUCCCCAGCCCCUGAGAAAAGCAUCUUUACUUGCACAUGUACGAAGCAGCCUUUAUAAUAUUGAAGAUGCUCCGAGGCAAAAAGAGAAAAGACACGUGCUCCAUACUUCAGUGCGAUGCAACCACAGUGAGAGAGCUGGAGGAGCUCUGAGAUGCUGGACAUGUCUGUCACAACCCCUUCACCUUUUUGCAAGCUAACACAGAAGAGAUGAUUUAUUGAACACGUGUUACACUCGGCCGCAAGUAAGAACAGAAGUAGUCCAGAAUGCCACAGCUCCAGGGCAAAAGAUGGGAGGUACUGCUUUAGUCAUCAACAAGGUGGAUCUCUUUGAGGUGGUCUUUGCUGUCAUUGUCAAUGAAUUUCUAACACACUAAAACAUUCUAGACAGCAUACAGUCCAAUAACUUGUACCAGCAUCCUCAGCCUCCAGCAUUCCUUAUUUCUGCUCCUUUGGCCUCCAUGGGUGUACAAGAUUACUUGGACCUCUGUCUCAUCUUCUUUCUUUUACGCUUCAGCCUGUGCAUUCUCUUCUUCCUCCACUUGGCUCUCAUCUUGCAGAGGUUUCUAAGAAGAUCUCAACUGUUUCCUUUAGUUCGAAUUUCUCUCCUGUGUCAUUCAAGAUGGAGUUCAUGUUGUUUUUUAAAUUAAUCUUUUCACUUGCAUGGGCUGAUUUUGAAUAAAGAAGAAGCAAAGGACCUUCAUGUUACUCUCAUGUCAUCAGAAGUUCACUGAUUGAUGAUGGCUAAUACCACCUGUACAUGUAAUGUGUUUGAUAUUUGAUUGCAUUGCUGGGAACAAUCCCCCAUUUCUGUCCCCACCCCUUCAGCUGUCUAAUUUCCCAAGAUUUCUUUGAUACUCCCAGAAGUGGAUUCGCCCAUCCCAGGCAAACUGCAGGCUGAACUUGCUCCAUCCAAGAGGGAAAGCAAUUCAGGCUCCACAACUUGCACAGACGCUUGGCAGCUUUGGUGCCUGUUGAGCUUACAUUUAAUGCCUAUCUUUAGUCAUCAGAUGGAUGCCACAAGCCUUUGCCAAAAAGCAAAACUUGGAACAGAAUGCAAAGUACCUUCUAACAAGAAGCAUAGUUGAAAUUUAAAAGCUCAGUCGAGAGUGACUGAGAAAGGAAUAUCCGAUUCUCAGAUGAGAUCAAUCCUCUCAUACGAUUUCUCCUUUGUAGCACUUUAUACUAUUAUGAUUAAAUAAUUAAUAGGGAAAUCAGUUGUUUAAUGGCCAAUGCUCC